rnacentral:rRNA from 1 species
UAGAGUUUGAUCCUGGCUCAGAAUGAACGCUGGCGGCGUGCUUAACACAUGCAAGUCGAACGAUGAAGCCUAGCUUGCUAGGUGGAUUAGUGGCGCACGGGUGAGUAAUAUAUAGGUAACGUGCCUCUUAGUCUGGGAUAGCCAUUGGAAACGAUGAUUAAUACUGGAUACUCCUUCUAACUCUAAUGUUAGUCGGGAAAGUUUUUCGCUAAGAGAUCGGCCUAUUUCCCAUCAGCUUGUUGGUAGUGUAAGAGACUACCAAGGCUAUGACGGGUAGCGGGUUUGAGAGGAUGAUCCGCCACACUGGUACUGAGACACGGACCAGACUCCUACGGGAGGCAGCAGUGAGGAAUAUUGCACAAUGGAGGAAACUCUGAUGCAGCAACGCCGCGUGGAGGAUGACGCAUUUCGGUGUGUAAACUCCUUUUAUGAGUCAAGAAAAUGACGGUAGCUCAUGAAUAAGCACCGGCUAACUCCGUGCCAGCAGCCGCGGUAAUACGGAGGGUGCAAGCGUUAUUCGGAAUCACUGGGCGUAAAGGACGCGUAGGCGGGAAGCCAAGUCUGAUGUGAAAUCCUAUGGCUCAACCAUAGAACUGCAUUGGAAACUGGUUACCUAGAGUAUGGGAGGGGGAGAUGGAAUUAGUGGUGUAGGGGUAAAAUCCGUAGAUAUCACUAGGAAUACCGAAAGGGAAGGCGAUCUCCUGGAACAAUACUGACGGUAAGGCGUGAAAGCGUGGGGAGCAAACGGGAUUAGAUACCCUGGUAGUCCACGCCGUAAACGAUGGACACUAGUUGUUGGAUUAUUUCAGUGACUAAGCGAAAGUGAUAAGUGUCCCACCUGGGGAGUACGAUCGCAAGAUUGAAACUCAAAGGAAUUGACGGGGGCCCGCACAAGCGGUGGAGCAUGUGGUUUAAUUCGAUGAUACGCGAGGAACCUUACCAGGGCUUAAAUGUAAGUUGCAUUAUUCAGAGAUGGAUAUUUCUUCGGACUACUUACAAGGUGCUGCAUGGUUGUCGUCAGCUCGUGCCGUGAGGUGUCAGGUUAAGUCCUAUAACGAGCGCAACCCCUAUCGUUAGUUGCUAGCAGGUCAUGCUGAGGACUCUAACGAGACUGCCGGUGCAAACCGUGAGGAAGGUGGGGAUGACGUCAAAUCAUCACGGCCCUUACGUCCUGGGCUACACACGUGCUACAAUGGUAUAUACAGAGAGCAGCCAUCUGGUGACAGAGAGCGAAUCUAUAAAGUAUAUCACAGUCCGGAUCGGAGUCUGCAACUCGACUCCGUGAAGUCGGAAUCGCUAGUAAUCGUAGAUCAGCCAUGAUGCGGUGAAUACGUUCCCGGGCCUUGUACACACCGCCCGUCAAGCCAUGGAAGCUGGGAGUACCUGAAGUCGGUGACCGCAAGGAGCUGCCUAGGGUAAAAGCUGGUAACUAGGGCUAAGUCGUAACAAGGUAACCA